GAUCCGGUGGCCGAGUUCUUAGAGCGUCCACCUCGAAUGCGGGAGGUCGUGGGUUCGAUCCCAGGCCGAGUCA